AGAGUUUGAUCCUGGCUCAGGAUAACGCUGCGCGCGCUAACACAUGCAGUCGAACGGCACCCCCCUUCGGGUGUGGAAGCGAGUGGCGAACGGCUGAGUAACACGUGGAGAACCCGCCCCUCCUCCGGGAUAGCCUCGGGAAACCGUGGGUAAUACCGGAUGACCCCGGCAGGCCGCAUGGCGGCCGGGCAAAGCCCAGACGGGAGGGGAUGGCUCCGCGGCCCAUCAGGUAGACGGCGGGGUGACGGCCCACCGUGCCGACGACGGGUAGCCGGGUGAGAGACCGACCGGCCAGAUUGGGACUGAGACACGGCCCCAGACUCCUACGGGAGGCAGCAGUGGGGAAUCUUGCGCAAUGGGGGGAACCCUGACGCAGCGACGCCGCGUGCGGGACGAAGGCCCUCGGGUCGUAAACCGCUUUCAGCAGGGAUGAGACAAGACGGUACCUGCAGAAGAAGCCCCGGUUAACUACGUGCCAGCAGCCGCGGU
rnacentral:rRNA from 1 species